rnacentral:rRNA from 1 species
GACGUAGGGCGCAAGCGUUGUCCGGAUUUAUUGGGCGUAAAGAGCUCGUAGGCGGCUCGUUGCGUCGGCUGUGAAAACCCACGGCUUAACCGUGGGCCUGCAGCCGAUACGGGCGAGCUAGAGUUCGGUAGGGGAGACUGGAAUUCCUGGUGUAGCGGUGAAAUGCGCAGAUAUCAGGAGGAACACCCGUAGCGAAGGCGGCACUCUGGGCCGAUACUGACGCUGAGGAGCGAAAGCGUGGGGAGCGAACAGG